rnacentral:rRNA from 1 species
GACGAACGCUGGCGGCGUGCUUAACACAUGCAAGUCGAACGGUAAGGCCCUUCGGGGUACACGAGAGGCGAACGGGUGAGUAACACGUGGGUGAUCUGCCCUGCACUUCGGGAUAAGCCUGGGAAACUGGGUCUAAUACCGGAUAGGACCACUGCCUGCAUGGGUGGUGGUGGAAAGCUUUUGCGGUGUGGGAUGGGCCCGCGGCGCUAUCAGCUUGUUGGUGGGGUGAUGGCCUACCAAGGCGACGACGGGUAGCCGGCCUGAGAGGGUGACCGGCCACACGGGGACGGAGAUACGGCCCAGACUCCUACUGGAGGCAGCAGUGGGGAAUAUUGGACAAUGGGCGCAAGCCUGCUGCAGCGACGCCGCGUGAGGGAUGACGGCCUUCGGGUUGUAAACCUCUUUCAGCACCGACGAAGCGCAAGUGGCGGUAGGUGCAGAAGAAGGACCGGCCAACUACGUGCCAGCCGCCGCCGUAA